AUUAGCAGCCCCAGGCUGAAAUGGGUGCAGCACCUUUUCCCUCCGGCUAUGGGGUGCCUGAACUCUGCUUCUUCCAUUCCCUCCUUGCCUUCUGGUGUGCAUUUGUGGGCAGUGGCUCUGCCGUGACAGUUAACCAGUCUCCAAUCUUUGUCAAAGAGUUGCCGGGGAUAGAUGUUUCUUUCAACUGUUCUGUUGAUCAAUUAAACUAUAAUUUCUACUGGUAUCGGCAAGCACCUGGAAACACAGAACUAGAAGUGCUUGGGGUCUUGUACAGUUAUAAUACAAACCUUGAAGAUAGCCCAGAGAAGUGGACGAACCGGCUGAAAGCAAAGUGGAAAGACAAAGAAAAGAAGAAAAUGAGUUUGGAUCUGACAGGUCUUCAGCCUGGUGAUACGGGCUUCUAUCUCUGUGCUUCAGGGGACACAGUGAAUGAGGGAGGAACUGGAAUGGGUACAAAACUGAGUAUCAGAAUAAGCCUCCUCUGCUUUUCUUAGGCAUGUUGGUGGUUGUGCUCCAAAGCAUUCAGUAGGCAUCUGGUUGGGAGGGGUCCAACACCCUGAGGACACCCCAAAGAGCUUCAGUCAACCUCAUCUGCAUUGUGCCACCAUUGGCCCAGGCCUCUCCCUUUACCAAACCAUGUUAUAAGAACUCGGUGGUCUGAGAUACAGCCUCAAUUCCAACAUUCCUCCAAGCGAUGAUGGACACUAGUUUUCUUGCUUUGCCUUAGUGUAUGGUGAAUUCAGCCCCUGUGGGUCUUAGAGUUUAGCAUGUUAAUUAUGGUUUAUUCAAUAAACCAUGAUUAAACACACCAAGAGUAUGCUCUGUGCCAAUGUAGUCACCGAAUGCCCUUUCCGGGAGAGCCCUAUUUCGUUCUUGAACAUGAUGCUGGACCUCUGCAGGCGGGCAAAGACUUUAUAUCUUCCAUGGAAGAAACUUAGAUUCCACCUACAUAGGUCUGGCAUUUCAGCUAUAGAGGUUUUCUUUUAAGUCUGUGCCUGAGCUUUGCAUGAGCAAAACUUGUAGAAGUGUGAGUGUAUAUCAAGAAGCAGGUUGGCAUUUUUGGUUCUCUCUUGCAUUUUCUGCCAUAAUGCAACCUGAUGGACGCAGCAUCUCAUCCUUCAAGCUCCAACCAGAUAAGGCUCACUGUAUCCCCUCAAGCAGAGAGACUCACCCUGAGUCACCCAGAAGAACUCUGUGGCUGAGGAUCUUCCCAUUCUCAGGCUGGACCUGGUAAAGGUUGUGCCACCUUGAAGUUCCUGGAUGGAAGGAAUGUGCCGCUCCACACUGAAAAGGUGGCAAUGCUGGAGCCCAUGCAGCCUCUUUAGGAAAGGCACCGCAUAGCCAGGAUCCCACUGCUGAGAAAACCUGGUUCUCCUUUGGGUUUCUGUUUGUAGUGUGUCUGCAGGAAAGAGAGUCUUCAAGCUGGACAGAUUAACACAGUGAGAACCGUUCUUCAAAUAUUUGCAUUUAAGGACUGUCAGGGGGCCAAGGAAAGUCACCAGCACUUCAACAUUAACCUUUUCUUUGAAUUAUUUAAAAAUAUCUGAAUUAAAACCACACUUUG